rnacentral:rRNA from 1 species
GAUGAACGCUGGCGGCGUGCCUAAUACAUGCAAGUCGAGCGAAUGGAUUGAGAGCUUGCUCUUAUGAAGUUAGCGGCGGACGGGUGAGUAACACGUGGGUAACCUGCCCAUAAGACUGGGAUAACUCCGGGAAACCGGGGCUAAUACCGGAUAACAUUUUGAACCGCAUGGUUCGAAAUUGAAAGGCGGCUUCGGCUGUCACUUAUGGAUGUACCCGCGUCGCAUUAGCUAGUUGGUGAGGUAACGGCUCACCAAGGCAACGAUGCGUAGCCGACCUGAGAGGGUGAUCGGCCACACUGGGACUGAGACACGGCCCAGACUCCUACGGGAGGCAGCAGUAGGGAAUCUUCCGCAAUGGACGAAAGUCUGACGGAGCAACGCCGCGUGAGUGAUGAAGGCUUUCGGGUCGUAAAACUCCGUUGUUAGGGAAGAACAAGUGCUAGUUGAAUAAGCUGGCACCUUGACGGUACCUAACCAGAAAGCCACGGCUAACUACGUGCCAGCAGCCGCCGUAA